rnacentral:rRNA from 1 species
AGAGUUUGAUCAUGGCUCAGAACGAACGCUGGCGGCGUGCCUAACACAUGCAAGUCGAACGAGAAAGGGGCUUCGGCUCCGAGUAAAGUGGCGCACGGGUGAGUAACACGUAGGUAACCUGCCUCUAAGUUUGGGAUAACCUGUCGAAAGACGAGCUAAUACCAAAUAAGACCACAGUCUCCUUGGAGACAGAGGUCAAAGGUAGCCUCUAUUUAUAAGCUAUCGCUAAGAGAUGGGCCUGCGUACCAUUAGCUAGUUGGUGAGGUAACGGCUCACCAAGGCAAAGAUGGUUAGCUGGUCUGAGAGGAUGAUCAGCCACACUGGAACUGAGACACGGUCCAGACUCCUACGGGAGGCAGCAGUGGGGAAUAUUGCGCAAUGGGCGAAAGCCUGACGCAGCAACGCCGCGUGAGUGAUGAAGGCCUUCGGGUCGUAAAGCUCUGUCGGAGGGAACGAAUGCUCUCAAGGUUAACAGCCUCGGGAGGUGACGGUACCCUCAAGGAAGCACCGGCUAACUCUGUGCCAGCAGCCGCGGUA